UACAGAGGUCGCAAGCGUUGUUCGGAUUCAUUGGGCGUAAAGGGUGCGUAGGUGGCGCCGUAAGUCAGGUGUGAAAUUUCGGAGCUUAACUCCGAAACUGCAUUUGAUACUGCGGUGCUUGAGGACUGGAGAGGAGACUGGAAUUUACGGUGUAGCAGUGAAAUGCGUAGAGAUCGUAAGGAAGACCAGUGGCGAAGGCGGGUCUCUGGACAGUUCCUGACACUGAGGCACGAAGGCCAGGGGAGCAAACGGG
rnacentral:rRNA from 1 species